GGUGUGAUUGUUCAUUAACAAAAAAUGAUCAUAUGUAAAGUAUAUACUUUGCCCUUGUGUCACUCAACCAAUCACCUUGGGGAAGGUCUGAGACAAGAGCCAAUCACUGCCCUAGCAGGGUGUCACCUGACCUGGGUGAGUGAGUGCACAGAGAAUAUGGGCCAUUGUGAGUUGUCUUUACAGGAGAAACCAGCCAGAGCAGCUCUCCAGCACUACUGGUUGAUGUGACCUCACUGGCUUGGAAACACUCAUGGCUGGCAUAUGAGUGCAAUGUGUGAGUUGGAGUACACCUCCAGAACCCAAUUCAGACUACUCUCUGCC
ensembl:ribozyme RNaseP_nuc Nuclear RNase P